CCAAAGGUGAGGAGGUAGGGUCACCAUGGUCUAUUCCCAAGACCACCCUAUUGCUCCAGCAGUGUAUUGAUUUGUGGAUCUCUGCAAAGCACACAGACCAGGUCAGAGAUGUCCCUACGUUUCUUUUUGCUCCCUUGAAGGGCUGCUGUGAAGUUACAGUCACAAUAUAAGAUGACAAGAAGUUCAAGACAAGAUAAAGGACCCCAGUGAGAUUGGACACUGAGAGUUUUUAUAGGUUUUCUCCUCAUAAAUGGAGCCAGCAAUCUGCCCUUGUGCCCUGUGCAGCUGUAGAAGGACCAUAGUCCUUGCCAAGAGUAUGGGGGGCCCAGAGGAACAAAGAAGUGAUGAAAUCUGAGGUUGCAUGCAGGGAAUUUUCAUCAGAGGGAGUAGCAAUAGAGGAAGACUAACAUUCUUCAGUACUGCUGGGAUGGGUCAAUCCAAUUCAGAUACUUUAGAAAUGAAAGGAAAAAGUAUGUGAACAAGAAAUUUCUGGAAGUUAAAGAUGUAUAGGGUGCAGUAAGUACCUCACAAGCAUGAGAUAUGGCAACUUUUAAAUUCUAUUAUUAAAAGACUUUCUGAGAGGGAGAUUGUAACUAGAAUUCAAGGAUAAGUAUACAUGAGCACCAUCUGGCUCUUUAGUUUCUGUUCUUUAA